UAAGCCGCGCAUUAUUGGACUUCGAACACUCAGCUAUAGUGAUCACGCCAAAAUAAAACUGCCAUACAAGUUAUCCAAUCACAAUUGGACACGCCUUUUACUCAGAUAACGCAGUGUCAAGCACAGCGGGGACUACAGUUUGGUAUGAUUGCUCAAGAAUAUUAGAUGUUGCGUAUUUGCUAUUCAAGUUUUUUCUAACUAAGUGGCCGGUGAGAUCUGCUAAUCAUAAAGGAGAGGCAAACAUAAAUUCUUAAUCUCAUGAGACAAAUUUUUGUAAAGAGGGUUUUUUUUCUUCCGUUUUCUAGAAAUCUGUUAUCCCCCCCCCCCCC